CAUUUCCUUUCUUCGAUUUUUUUUGGCCACAAAACCACUACUCCAUCAAAGCAUUCUGGAUCUGAGACCAUCACUUCUAGCAAAGAUUGAAGGACACAGCCAAACAUUGUGAAACAGUACAAGGCUCUAGUCCUGCAAUGAUGAGAGUUUCGGCCAAUGGUUAGACAACCCAACAGAAGGAUCAAACCUUGAAUUUUAAAAGAAAACUUGUGCAAUAAGAGAACGAGAAGAUGCUUAAGUUGUGGCCUGCUGAGUUCAGCUUCUACAGAGCC